CCUCACCCCCGCCCUUUACUUUCGUCGGCGACUGGCAACAGAGGAGUUUAGGCGGGAAAACGGCUCGAGCCCGAGGGGAGGGGGAGGAAGGGAGGGAGGAGCUCGCGCGCCUAAGGGGCCUAGGCCAUCAAGGACAUCCCGAAACGCCUCAGGAUGUUGGGUGUUUGUGGUAUGCAGAAAUGUCAUCAAGAGGCACUGAAAAAGAACCGCGUGUCCUUGGCAAAGCAACUAGUAUUAAAGGAAUUGAUGGAACAUCUUAUAGAAAAGGAUGUUAUCACUGAAGAAAUGAUGGAGAUGAUACAGGCCAAGGCUGGGAAUUUUAGCCAAAACAUCGAAUUCCUGAACCUUCUUCCUAAGAGGGGUCCCAAAGCCUUCUCAGCCUUCUGUGAAGCUUUAAGAGAAACCAAACAGCCUCACUUGGAGGAAAUGCUUCUACGUUCUGUCUCCAGGCAUUGCAAUGGGAUUGCAAAGUUGAGUCACAGCUGUGAGGAACAUCUGUCCUUUCCUGUUUCUGAAUCAGGUAUCUUGCAAAAAUGGCCUCGUCGGAAUCCUGAGCCAAUGGAGCAUUCUCUGGAUGAUGGAGAUGGACCCCACUAUCCUCAAGUGAUGCCAUGCACACCAGAAUUCUAUCGUACUCAUGAGCAGCUGGCAUACAAGUUGAAAUCACAACCAAGAGGCCUAGCACUUAUACUUAGCAACAUUCAUUUCAACAAAGAGACGGAUCUGGAUUUCCGUUCUGGUGGAGAUGUUGACAAUACUGCCCUGCACAUGCUCUUCAAACACCUUGGGUACCAAGUGGUUGUUCGACAAGAUCGGACUGCACAGGAAAUGAAGGAAGAACUGGAAAUUUUUUCAAAGCAUCCAGCUCACCGAAAUGUUGAUUCUUGCAUCGUGUCACUUCUUUCUCAUGGAAUUGAGGGUGGAAUCUAUGGCAUAGAUGGCAAGCUACUUCAGCUGCAAGAGAUUUUCAGGCUCUUUGAUAAUGCAAACUGCCCUAAUCUCCAAAAUAAACCCAAAAUGUUCUUCGUUCAAGCUUGCCGGGGAGAUGAGACAGACCAUGGAGUGGACCAAAUAGAUGGAAAUGAUCGUGCCAGCUCUCCAGGCUGUGAAGAGACUGAUGCAAACAAGAAAGAAAAUCCCAAGCUACGACUUCCCACAUGUUCUGACAUGAUUUGUGGAUAUGCCUGUUUGAAGGAAUCCUAGAGUUGGAAGAGACCCCCAGGGCCACCUAGUCCAGCCUCCUGCCAUGCAGAAACAUAUAUUCAAAGAACCCCAACAGAUGACCAUCUGACCUCUGCUUAAAGACCUCCAGAAAAGGAGACUCCCAAGAUCUUCCAGGGCAGCAUAUUCCACCAUAUGUUUAGGUGGAAUUGCUUUUCUUGCUAUUUGAAGCCACUUCUCCGUGUCCUACUUUCUAAAGCAGAGGUUCUGACCCCAUACGGAGUUGUUGCAACUGAAUGUUGGGGUCGUAAAAUAUUUGGAAACAAAAGGUUUCUAAAUUCUGCCAGUGGCUGUUUUAGAAUCUGUUAGCAACAAUGUGCAGUGUUACAAUGAACUUAGGAGCAAAUGCCUCAGCUGUAUUUUAUAAAAAGGGAAAAUUUGCAUGUAUUUAUAGCAAGUCUUGCAAAUACUGAUUUUCAUUUUCAGUUUCAAAAAUAUGUCUUCAAAUUUUGAUUAAAAAUAAGUUGAGUUCAUAAACAAUCUCAACUGAAAUAAAAAAGAUCAGUCAUCAACACCAAGAAAUUGCCUAAUUUUCAAGCAACACAGAUUUAAGCUGGAGUUUCCUAAAACAUGUUAAAUUAAUCUUGGCUUGGUGUUAGGAGAGAAUUUUCUACGUUUUGAAUUGGCCCUAAACAUACUUCUGCCAUUUGUACUAUGUAUUGAUUAUUAUAAAAUCAGAAUAUCAAUCAGCUCUGAAAAAUGUGGAAGAUACCAUGGUUGCAUAAAAAUUUCUUGGGUGAAAAGGAGUCAUGAGUGGAAAAAGUUUUAAGAAGCCGUGUCUAGAGCAGCAGAAAACAAGUUUGUCUCCUCCUCCUUUCAUACGUUUAAACAUAGCUAUCAUGUCUCCUCUCAGGCUCCUUUACUCCAAGCUCCCUAAGACAAUCUUCAUAGGGCUUGACUGUAAAACCGUUGAUGAAUUUGAUUGCCCUUCUCUGGACAUGUUCCAGCUUGUCUAUAACCUUCUUGGAUUACGGUGUCCAGAACUGGACACGUUAUUACAGAUGAGAUCAGACCAAAGCAGAAUAGAGAGGGACUGUGACUCAAUCAGGAGUCUACGCUCAGAAUCACAUUGGCUUUUAUAGCCGCUGCAUCACACUGUUGACUCAUGUUCAGCUUGUGGUCUACUUAAGAAUCCUAGAUCACAUUCACAUGGAUUGUUUUCAAGCCAGGUGUCCCUCAUUUUAUAGUUAUGCAUUUCAUUUUUAUUGCCUACUAGCUUGGGGACCCGGCGGUGCCCGGGUUAUUAGAAAAAGGCAUUGUUUGUUUUGGGAUGUUAGGUAAUACCACUUAAGUUUGGUCCAGAUCCGUUGCUGGCUGGGUUCAGUGCUGUCUGGAUAAGGGUGAACUACAGCUCUCAGAUUCCCAGGGCAAUCACCCCCAAAUCCUGCCAGUAUGUACAGUUGGCCAUGUUGGGUCUGUGUACCACGUUUGGUCCAGAUCUGACAUCAGCUGGCUUCAGUGCUUUCAGGAUGCUGGUGAACUAUAACUCUCAAAAUCAAGAUUCAUUCCCACUAACCCCUGCAGUAUGCUCAUUUUUUCAUGGGGCUUCUCUUUGCCAAGUUUGGUCCCAGUUCAUUAUUGGUGGGGGUCACACUAUCAAGGUACUGCACACCCCAUCAUCCAUGGCAAGUUUGGUCCAGAUACAUUGUUGGUUGGGUUAAGAGUGCUCUCUGGGUGUAGAUCAAGUACAACUCAUGUAAAUCAUGGUGAAUUCCCUCCAAACCUCUUGUUCAGUUACUGAUCAGUUCCUCUGUUUGCUGUGUGCCAUAGGAAAAGGGUAAGAAAAGGUUAAGGUAGAGGUAGUGGGCGGGGUCAUGCAAAUUAAGGAACUCUGGGAUGUCCAUUUUGGAGGAACAACAGAACAUCUAGGAUGAAAUUGUCCCCACAUGAAAGCCUUCACUUGGGUAGGGGGCAGGGGUGGAAUGGUGUUUGUGAAGGACUUUGGCAGGAUUUGGGCUACAUGUUCAUGGCAUUCACUAUAGACUGCAUCUCAGUGGAGGGAGGGCCAUUGGUGUCUCCUGCUCAAUGGGAACUAUAGCUGUUUGUGGAGGCGGGAGGCUGUCUGGGUAAGUGGACCCCUCCGCCACAUACACACAUACACAUUUUUCACUUUUUUAUGUGUAUAGAUAAAUGUAGUGCCAUAUAUUUCUCCCUGUUUAAACUAUAUGGGCUGGGCCCAUUUAGUUUGGGUCCAGCUCUCCAAUCUGUUAAAGAUCAUUUUGGAUUCUGAUCCUGUUCUAGUUAUCCUUCCCAAUUUGGUGUCAUCUGUAAAUUUGAUAAGCAUGCCAUCCUCCAAGUCAUUGAUGAAGAUAAUUAAUAGCAUUGGCCCCAGAACAGACCCCUGUGGCACCCCACUGGUCACAUCUCUCCAAGAUGAGGAGCCGUUGGUGAGCCCUUUUUGGGUUCAGCUAGCCGAACAAUUCCCAAUCUACCUAACAGUAGCACUGUCUAGCCCAGACUUUGCUGUCUUCUUUGCAAGAAUGGGGGUCCUUAUCUUAUUGAAAUUGAGAUAUCUUAUAUUCAGAUAUAAUAUAAUAUCUACCAAGCUUGUAACUCAAUAUAUUUAAAAAGAGAUUGGAUUUGUCUGGCAAGACUUUAUUUCUUUACAGGUACAGCUGCUAUGAGAAAUACCAAGCAUGGGUCUUGGUAUGUAGAAGCUCUCACUUCUGUGUUUGCCGAAGACUCUGGGCAUAUGCAUGUGGCCGACAUGCUUGUGAAGGUGAACAGAUUAAUAAAGCUCCGAGAGGGCCAUGCUCCU